CUCAACAACCCACUCACAUCGAGUAAAGCAGCCUGCUUAAUAUUUUUGUGACGUUCCUCUGGCCCUUCUUUGGUCUUUCAGCAAGCCAUGCAAGCCCACCGAGCAGCAACAUCAUUUGCAAAGCGUGCCUAACUUUCAAUCCACCCUCAACAACCCACGCACAUCGAGUAAAGCAGCCGGCUUAAUAUUUUUGUGACGUUCCUCUCGCGCUUCCUUGACGUUUCACCAAUCCUUGCAUGCCCACGCACCAGCCCCAUCAUUUUCAAAGCAUGCCUUGCACUAAUUCCACCCUCAUCCACCCCCUAAACCCAGAUUAACGUAGAUGGCUCAUUCCUUUUCACAUUAAUUUUAGAUUUAUUUGUGAUUAAAUUACUGGGUGACCUUCAAAUCUUCCUUCCUUGCCUUGUCUCUCUUCCUGACCAACAUCCUCAAUCCCUUACAAA